rnacentral:misc_RNA from 1 species
UCCGGUUUGUCACCGGCAGUCCCAUUAGAGUGCCCAACUGAAUGUGGCAACUAAUGGCAAGGGUUGCGCUCGUUGCGGGACUUAACCCAACAUCUCACGACACGAGCUGACGACAGCCAUGCAGCACCUGUGUUACGGUUCCCUUUCGGGCACACCUCCAUCUCUGGAGGCUUCCGUACAUGUCAAGGGUAGGUAAGGUGGGGAUGACGUUCGUCUGAC